rnacentral:rRNA from 1 species
GCACUUUAAUGUUUGUAUUCAAAAAUUAUUUAAAAUUUUUAUUUUUACUUAUAAGUCCAUCUUUAGGUGUAUGAAAAUACGUUACCAGCUGAAAACAUAAAUAUUAUUGUAACUCGCUUAAAUCUUUAUUAUUAGCUGCACCUUGAUCUGUCAUAUAGUUGAAAACAAAAUGUAAAAUAUUUAUUAAAAAUAUUUUGGACGACGGCAUACAAACUUUUACAUAAAGUGAAUAUUUCUUGGUGGUUAUCAUUUACUUAGUAAGUUCCCCUAUAGUUUAUUAAAACCGCCAUAAUUUUUGAGUUUAACAAUUAUAAUUGUUUACUCCUCAAAACUAAUGAAUUUUAAAUAGAAAUAGUAGGGUAUCUAAUCCUAGUUUAUAAGUCUAUUUUUACAACAUAAUAAAAUAAUAAAUAUCACGGCAGAUUAUAUUUCACUAUAAAGCUGGCCUAUAAUCAAUUAGUAAUACUCAUAGUUUUGUAGUAACUACCUUUUAAUGAAGGUAUGACCGCGGUUGCUGGCACCAUAUUUACCUUAAAAUAUUUACCUAAACUAGACUUAUAUUUAUAUAGUUUAUAAUCUCUCCGACUGGAGAUUACAUAGAUUUCCAUUGAUCGUAUUUUGGUAGACGUAGUUAAUUUCUAUUAAAUUAAAGUAGUGAAAGAUCUAAAAAGGGAUAAUACCUUUUUCGG